UACGUAGGGUGCGAGCGUUAAUCGGAAUUACUGGGCGUAAAGCGUGCGCAGGCGGCUUUGCAAGACAGAUGUGAAAGCCCCGGGCUCAACCUGGGAAUUGCAUUUGAAACUGGCCAACUAGAGUACGUGAGAGGGGGGUAGAAUUCCGCGUGUAGCAGUGAAAUGCGUAGAUAUGCGGAGGAACACCAAUGGCGAAGGCAAUCCCCUGGGCCUGUACUGACGCUCAUGCACGAAAGCGUGGGGAGCAAACAGG
rnacentral:rRNA from 1 species